AUUGAACGCUGGCGGCAUGCUUUACACAUGCAAGUCGAACGGCAGCGCGGGCUUCGGUCUGGCCGCGAGUGGCGCACGGGUGUGUAAUGCAGCGGAACGUGCCCAGGAGUGGGGGAUAGCCCGGCGAAAGCCGGAUUAAUACCGCAUACGAUCUGGGGGUGAAAGCGGGGGAGCGAAACACCGUUCGCUCUCGGAGCUUCCGAUGUGGGGAUGGCUGGUUGGGGGGGUAAAGGCUUACCAGGGCACCGAUCCGUAGCUGGUCUGAGAGGCCGACCAGCCACCUUGGACUUGAGCACGGGCCAAGCUCCCAAGGGGAGGAAGAGGGGGGGAAUUUGGGAAAAUGGGGGAAACCCUGAUCAAGCAAGGCGGCGGGGGGGAAGAAGGCCUCCGGGUGGUAAACCGCUUUUGUUGGGGAAGAAAGCCUCUGGGCUAAUACGCGGGGGAGAGGACGGUACCGGAAGAAUAAGCACGGGCAACUUACGU
rnacentral:rRNA from 1 species